AUCAAUCAUACAUUUUCUUUCACUAUGCUUAGAAUGCACUCCUGACUUUUCUUUAAAAAUUGUUUUAUGCUAUUAUGGUUGGUAUUUUUAUUAUUCUUAUUGUUAUUACUUUUUUUAACCACCCCUCAUCUGAAGAGCACAGGGCAGUUCACUACAUAAUUAUGAACUGCUUUGGGACGCAAGAGCCCACAGAUAUGCUAUUUAUUCAGAAUAAAUACUUGCCCCAAAGCAAGUCCAAGUUCUAUAGUGAUUACUCCCAGCAUUAAUUCUGCAGCAUUAAUUCACCAAGUAAAUAAAUAUGGCUUCAAUCUUAAGCCCUGUCUGGGAGUAGCAGGGAUGAGUAGGCGUACUCGGGGUAACCAGGAUGGAAGGUGGAGGCAGAGACAGAUUUUGCUGUAGCAGCUCUAGGCCAUCACAGGACAGAGGCCCAGAAUGGGUUCACUGCCAGUAGCCAGACUAGUUUAGGAACCAGCAGGUCCCUGAGUGGUCCAUUUCCACCCCCACCCCCCAAAACACCCUGCUACAGGGCUUUACUGGCUAAUAAGAGCACUAGUGGUAGGUUCCACUUGCCCUGCCUUUGGCAGGUGCAGUGAGGAUCUCAGGAUUCACAUCCAAUGUCACACACCCCAGCAUGGUGGAUCAGGGCGUAGGAUUGCACUUCAAAUGUCAGUUUCCUGCAGCAGUUGGAAAGAAGUAUGGCGUAGCAGUUUCCAGCAGCUCGAGUCUUCUUUGGUAGGAGAUAACCACAUUCAAACCUCAGCCAUUUAGCUCCCUCUCAGCCAAUAGCUACUUUGUAAGUGAGUGUGAGGUUAACCUCUUUCUGAGCUAAUUUUAAGUGUUAGAAGAAAAGGAAACCACAUAGAGAAUUAUUAACAGUUUAAAUGCAAUAUGUUACUCAGAAGUUGUGGGUGAUGGGAAGAAGGGGGAUGGGGAGGAAACCAGUAGAAAGUCCCUGUAAGAGUAUGUUUGAACACAGCUGGUUCAAACUGCAGUUAAUUACAUUGGACUGAAAACAUCAAAUCCAGGCUUGUGAUGUGAAUGUCUUAACCCACAUGUGUGUCUACCACUCAUGUAUUUCCUCGACAUUCAGCUCUGAGAGGGGUAGGACCCUUUGCAUGGUAACACUACAUGUGUAUGUUAAAAAUGUGUGUGGCUUUAAUUCUUAUGCUAAAUAACUUGCACACCAGGAAUUAGAAAAAGAUUGGUUUAUUACACUGAACUAAAGAGACUGUGUGUUUGGAUGCUGCUUCAGAAAUCAGUAUGACUAUUCCUUUGGGGUUUAAGUACAGUUUGUCUCACACUAUGUUCUAUGAAGGGAUGCGGGUGCCGCUGUGGGUUAAACCAGAGCCUAGGACUUGCCAAUCAGAAGGUCGGCGGUUCGAAUCCCUGUGACAGGGUGAGCUCCCAUUGCUUGGUCCCAGCUCCUGCCAACCUAGCAGUUUGAAAGCACGUCAAAGUGCAAGUAGAUAAAUAGGUACCGCUCCGGCGGGAAGGUAAACGGCGUUUCCGUGCACUGCUCUGGUUCACCAGAAGCGGCUUAGUCAUGCUGGCCACAUGACCCGGAAGCUGUACGCCGGCUCCCUCGGCCAAUAAAGCGAGAUGAGCGCUGCAACCCCAGAGUCGGUCACGACUGGACCUAAUGGUCAAGAGUCCCUUUACCUUUACGUUCUAUGAAGAGGACUUCCCGAGUGAGGUAAUAAUGUAACACUCAAGUCUUUUGUACCAUUGUUUACUUAUUCCUGCUAGUUUUUCCUUUCCGAGAUGACUUUGAUAUGACCUUAAUUUUGGGGGAAACACAACUUUAUAUCUACAGUUCCUGAAAGCAAUCUUCAUUGUCUAUUUGAAGUCUGCCUCCUGCCAGGAGGAGGUUGUUUACCAAUCCUUGUAUUGCCAGGUAGAUCUAGGUUUCUGAUAUUUUCUACAACUCAUAGGGGUCAGGCUGUUAGCUGCUCACUUAGAGGUCACCUUUGAGAUAAGAGCUUGUAACAGGGUCACCGCUAGUAACAAGUCUAGACUGGGCCCCAUUGUUACACAAGAAACUCUUGCCACAGAAGAUAUUGCAAGAGUGAAAUUUGGUAUCACUUUUCCAGGACACAACAAUGCACAUAGACACCAUGGGGCUAUAGUUAUGUCAAAAAAGUAACAUGGACAUCAUCACGCACAGGUCGGGGCUGCAAACUCUAAUGCUAAACAUUGCAUUUACUUGGAAGUAAUCCCUGUGAAAAUUAAUGGGAGUCACUUCCAAAGGGUGAUGCAGCCUCUAAGCAUGUUCAUUCAGAAGCUUCUGAGAUUAACCUUUUCAAUGCAUGUACUGCCAGGGUUGUAGGCAGCCAUUAAUACCCUCCCCUUCUGUAGCCAGUUUUGGCAUGUCCAACCUUGAGAGCACCUUCACUCAAAGAACCAUUGGGCUUGUAAGUUAUUUUUCUUUUGAGUGCAGAGAUGCUCUCCAGGCCUCACUAUGAUUGCUUGACAAGUUUCUGAUUUGAUCUGAUUAGGGCCAUUGAUAAAUUGCCUCAUAUGUCCAGAGUACUCAGGUGUGGUUUUUUUGUCCCACUUCUUGUCAUUCUUAUGUUGAUUGUGGGUGGCUGCCUAUUAGUCAUGUAAACAGGUGGAGGGGGUGUGCCUGGCUGAGAGCAAAAUGCCCUAAUCCAGCUGCAAUCCUGCCUUCAAGCUUAGAGAAAUCUCACCCAAGAACAUAUACACUCCAAGAAAAAUACCCUUUACAGGUUUCUUCAAGGGGUACUAAGUUACAAAGCGCAGAAAGAAAAUUCAGCCUCUUUGAUCCAUUAAGAGAGCAUCCAGAAGCCUGCUUCGCAGGGCCUACAUCACACUGCACUCAGUGGAAUAAGAGAGAAAGGGAGGUGGACAAGGAUCAUCCCUGAGCCUGCUCCAGCUGGACUUUCCCCACAGAACCAUCUUCCAUCAUGCAGCCUACUGAAAUAAUUUCAGGAGAGGCAGGCGAACAGGAAAAUAUCAACGCCUGCUCCAACUGGACUGUCACCUCCCCCACAUCCUGGGUUUUCUGCCACCAAGGGUUGUUUUUUAACGACUGGAACGGAUGAAUCCAUUUUGCAUUACUUUCUAUAGGAAAGCACGUCUUGAUUUUGGAACCGACUUCCAGAACGGAUUAAAUUUGAGAACCAAGCUCCUUGGAAGACGAUUGAAAGCAGCAUAAAAAUGGAAUGGAAUUCAGCAAUGUUCUAGUGAUGAGCAGUUCAGAGUAAACUAGCUUGACAGUAGUUUUCAAGAAAGAUGCUGUAAGCGGGCUUGGUAGGUUUCAAAGCUAUCACCUGUCCCUGCAAGGAAGUCCUGGGGGAAGGGUCGAGAUGCAAGGGCCUAGCAGAGCUAGCAAAAACAGGAGACAGCUGCAGGAUGGGCAGGGCAGACUGUAAGGGCACAGACUCAGAAAAGGAGUCAUGACACCGGUGUGGGCGUGGGUCACGGUUGCAACCACAAGCUACGAGGAGAGGAGGAGAAUGAAAGAGAUGUGAGGCAGACUCAGAGAGGAAGAAGUCCUCCCAUUUGAAAGAACAGGCUCUUGCUUCCAGCAGAGGGGUGUGUGAUGGAGCAGUAAAGCCAAAACCAGCUGGCCUCUUGCCAGGAGCCAAGUGCCGGAGAGGCAGAGGAGACAGGGCAGGAACUGAACUCGAGAGACAACACAGCCAGAAAAACUGCUCAGUUGUGGGACAUAAUUAAGUGUUUAGUCCAGGCACAGAAAGAAAGAGCCAACAACAAAUCUGAUGGGGGGCCUGCACAUUGUCAUUGUUAGUGUGCCUGCAACCGUGAGGAAGACACCAAAACCAGGAAGGCUUUAUACAUAAUUUUAGCGAGAUCACUUCUGAAGGGAGUGAGGGAGUAAUGUAUUCGUUUGAUGAAGAGUUACCCCAUCAUAGCUCUCAGUCCUGGAGGACCUGCCCCCUGCCUUGCAAGCCUUUUUUCACCUGGCCUGAGAGCUACAAAAGCUGAACAGAAUCUUGGGUUGGGGUGGUUUUGGACGGGGGCAGCAAGGAGUUGUUGCUGUUGAUUUAUUGUAUCUUUAUUUUAGAUAUUGUGAUAUAUGUGGAAACUGUUCUGUUUGGUUGUGUUUUUUAAAAAACGAUUUAUUCAUUGUUUUUGACUCCUUUUGUUAUAAUGUUGUUAUGUAUUUUUUCAUGCUGUAAACUGCCUUGAGCAUG